rnacentral:sRNA from 1 species
UGCUGCCGCUCGACGGCCGUCGCCUCCCU